rnacentral:rRNA from 1 species
AGAGUUUGAUCAUGGCUCAGAUUGAACGCUGGCGGCAGGCCUAACACAUGCAAGUCGAACGGUAACAGGAAACAGCUUGCUGUUUCGCUGACGAGUGGCGGACGGGUGAGUAAUGUCUGGGAAACUGCCUGAUGGAGGGGGAUAACUACUGGAAACGGUAGCUAAUACCGCAUAACGUCGCAAGACCAAAGAGGGGGACCUUCGGGCCUCUUGCCAUCAGAUGUGCCCAGAUGGGAUUAGCUAGUAGGUGGGGUAACGGCUCACCUAGGCGACGAUCCCUAGCUGGUCUGAGAGGAUGACCAGCCACACUGGAACUGAGACACGGUCCAGACUCCUACGGGAGGCAGCAGUGGGGAAUAUUGCACAAUGGGCGCAAGCCUGAUGCAGCCAUGCCGCGUGUAUGAAGAAGGCCUUCGGGUUGUAAAGUACUUUCAGCGGGGAGGAAGGGAGUAAAGUUAAUACCUUUGCUCAUUGACGUUACCCGCAGAAGAAGCACCGGCUAACUCCGUGCCAGCGGCCGCGGUAAUACGGAGGGUGCGAGCGUUAAUCGGAAUUACUGGGCGUAAAGCGCACGCAGGCGGUUUGUUAAGUCAGAUGUGAAAUCCCCGGGCUCAACCUGGGAACUGCAUCUGAUACUGGCAAGCUUGAGUCUCGUAGAGGGGGGUAGAAUUCCAGGUGUAGCGGUGAAAUGCGUAGAGAUCUGGAGGAAUACCGGUGGCGAAGGCGGCCCCCUGGACGAAGACUGACGCUCAGGUGCGAAAGCGUGGGGAGCAAACAGGAUUAGAUACCCUGGUAGUCCACGCCGUAAACGAUGUCGACUUGGAGGUUGUGCCCUUGAGGCGUGGCUCCCGGAGCUAACGCGUUGAGUCGACCGCCUGGGGAGUACGGCCGCAAGGUUAAAACUCAAAUGAAUUGACGGGGGCCCGCACAAGCGAUGGAGCAUGUGGUUUAAUUCGAUGCAACGCGAAGAACCUUACCUGGUCUUGACAUCCACGGAAGUUUUCAGAGAUGAGAAUGUGCCUUCGGGAACCGUGAGACAGGUGCUGCAUGGCUGUCGUCAGCUCGUGUUGUGAAAUGUUGGGUUAAGUCCCGCAACGAGCGCAACCCUUAUCCUUUGUUGCCAGCGGUCCGGCCGGGAACUCAAAGGAGACUGCCAGUGAUAAACUGGAGGAAGGUGGGGAUGACGUCAAGUCAUCAUGGCCCUUACGACCAGGGCUACACACGUGCUACAAUGGCGCAUACAAAGAGAAGCGACCUCGCGAGAGCAAGCGGACCUCAUAAAGUGCGUCGUAGUCCGGAUUGGAGUCUGCAACUCGACUCCAUGAAGUCGGAAUCGCUAGUAAUCGUGGAUCAGAAUGCCACGGUGAAUACGUUCCCGGGCCUUGUACACACCGCCCGUCACACCAUGGGAGUGGGUUGCAAAAGAAGUAGGUAGCUUAACCUUCGGGAGGGCGCUUACCACUUUGUGAUUCAUGACUGGGGUGAAGUCGAAACAAGGUAACCGUAGGGGAACCUGCGGUUG